rnacentral:rRNA from 1 species
AUUGAACGCCGGCGGCAGGCUUAACACAUGCAAGUCGAGCGGAGUGAUGGUGCUUGCACUAUCACUUAGCGGCGGACGGAUGAGUAAUGCUUAGGAAUCUGCCUAUUAGUGGGGGACAACAUCCCGAAAGGGAUGCUAAUACCGCAUACGUCCUACGGGAGAAAGCAGGGGAUCACUUGUGACCUUGCGCUAAUAGAUGAGCCUAAGUCGGAUUAGCUAGUUGGUGGGGUAGAGGCCUACCAAGGCGACGAUCUGUAGCGGGUCUGAGAGGAUGAUCCGCCACACUGGGACUGAGACACGGCCCAGACUCCUACGGGAGGCAGCAGUGGGGAAUAUUGGACAAUGGGGGGAACCCUGAUCAGCCAUGCCGCGUGUGUGAAGAAGGCCUUAUGGUUGUAAAGCACUUUAAGCGAGGAGGAGGCUCUUUUGGUUAAUACCCAAGAUGUGUGGACGUUACUCGCAGAAUAAGCACCGGCUAACUCUGUGCCAGCCGCCGCAGUAAAAC